CCUACGGGUGGCAGCAGUGGGGAAUAUUGCACAAUGGGGGAAACCCUGAUGCAGCGACGCCGCGUGAGUGAAGAAGUAUUUCGGUACGUAAAGCUCUAUCAGCAGGGAAGAAAAUGACGGUACCUGACUAAGAAGCCCCGUCUAACUACGUGCCAGCAGCCGCGGUAAUACGUAGGGGGCAAGCGUUAGCCGGAUUUACUGGGGGGAAAGGGGGAGUAGACGGCAGGGCAAGUCUGGAGUGAAAGGCAGGGGCCCAACCCAUGGACUGAUCUGGAAACUGUCCGGCUGGAGUGCAGGAGAGGUAAGUGGAAUUCCUAGGGUAGCGGUGAAAUGCGUAGAUAUUAGGAGGAACACCAGUGGCGAAGGCGGCUUACUGGACUGUAACUGACGUUGAGGCUCGAAAGCGUGGGGAGCAAACAGGAUUAGAUACCCUAGUAGUC
rnacentral:rRNA from 1 species